rnacentral:misc_RNA from 1 species
GAUGAAGAACGUAGCGAAAUGCGAUAAGUAGUGUGAAUUGCAGAAUUCAGUGAAUCAUCGAAUCUUUGAACGCACCUUGCGCCCUCUGGUAUUCCGGAGGGCAUGCCUGUUUGAGUGUCAUGAACACCUCACCCCCUCGGGUUUCCGAUUGGGUGGAUUUGGGUGCUGCCAGUUACAUGGCUCGCCUUAAACGCAUUAGCGGUUGUUGACGUAAUAAGUUUCGUCUUGUCGACCGCUUCUAAUCUCCUUCGGGAUGUCUUUCGGGACACUUCAUGAUCUGACCUCAAAUCAGGUAGGACUACCCGCUGAACUUAAGCAUAUCAAUAAGCGGAGGA